CGUUGAUUACGUCCCUGCCCUUUGUACACACCGCCCGUCGCUACUACCGAUUGAAUGGCUCAGUGAGGCGUCCGGACUGGCCCAGAGAGGAGGAAAACCACCACUCAGGGCCGGAAAGCUCUCCAAACUCGGUCAUUUAGAGGAAGUAAAAGUCGUAACAAGG
rnacentral:rRNA from 1 species